GGAUAGAAGCCGGUAAAUAGAUGGCCGUAAAACAGUGACUUUUGAAUCGUGGCGAGUUCUUUCUUACAUGUCGCGUGACCUAUCUUUUUUAUUGCUUAAAUCAAUUCGGCUUGGAAUGCUCUUCGAGAAAAGGUAGAAGAAUGUCUGCGACUAAGCCGAGGGCCACUUGAUAAGGGUUGUUGAUGGUAAAACAGAUUGGAGACUACAUAAGACUUUGACAGAUGGCGGGAAACCCUCAUGAACUGGAUAGAAGCCGGUAAAUAGAUGGCCGUAAAACAGUGACUUUUGAUUCGUGGCGAGUUCUUUCUUACAUGUCGCGUGACCUAUCUUUUUUAUUGCUUAAAUCAAUUCGGCUUGGAAUGCUCUUCGAGAAAAGGUAUGGUUAUGAGGGUCUCUAUGCGAAAAAGUUUGACUUUAUUUUUCGUUAAAGUUAUUGCAUUUACAUUGAAUUUGUGUAGGAAAUCUUUUACUAUAUUGUAACCUAAACUAGCUUUAGGUAAAAAAUGUAAUAUCAUCUGCAAGUGCAAAAUCUGACUGGGAAAGCUGAGUUUUGGUCAUUUCUUAGCAAAAGAGAAGAACAUUAGUGCAUUAAAUGCAUGAAUUCAGAUUAUUUGACCUGGAAUAGUUGUUUUUCAAGUUGACCCCCCACCCUUGUAUAGCCAAAUAAGGGCUUAAUUGCUUUCCGACUUAAAUUAAAAGGCAUUUUGGUUGACCGUGUAGCGUUAUUGUGCUACAUGCAGUCAGAAUUCAACGUCAAGGACUCCGCAAUCCAGUAACGCAACAAUAGCUUGUGCGUAAAGCAUGAACAUUCAAACAGAGCCCCAUUUUACCUACAUGGAAUGGCGGACAUUUUUACAGUUUUGACAGUGCAACAGAUGCUUAACUGAGCCAGCUUUCAUAUUUAGUACAAUCAUGCAUAUAACAAGCUUUAUCACCUCAUAUUAUUCAUAGAAAUACACUUAAAAUACAUAAAUGCAUGUUUUUUUCUUCAUUUUAUAUCUAUUUCUAUUGGGUAUUUUGACUUUUUCAGGUAGAAGAAUGUCUGCGACUAAGCCGAGGGCCACUUGAUAAGGGUUGUUGAUGGUAAAACAGGUAAUAAUACUAAUUUAUUAUCAUGUACACAGGCAAAUAAGCAUAUUUAUGAUGCUUAAGGUGUGAAAUACUGUCCUAAUCAGUUUUGUGGUCACUCAAACUCUUGCCGUCGUGCAAUUCCCAUGCAGUUUGUAUCGAUUAUUCCGCGUCCUGACACGUAAAGCUCCUGCUCUGUUGGCAGCAGAAGUUGGCACUCAACAUGUUUAUCCCUGUUCCUGAGCAUGUAUGCAGCACAGCUGAGUUGAUUUGCUACUUGUUAUCCUACAAUUAGCUUGUGUUUGGUACUGUUUUCUCACAAUAUGCUUACAGUCAUGGUUCCGGCUUGAGAAGAUGUCGCGUCCGACUUAAGCAUAGGAUUGUUGUAGCGAGUGUCCCCUUCAUCGUUUACAUUAGAGGGAUCUUUUUGACAAAAUUUGGCACUUUCAGCAACCAGUUUUGUUUUUUAUUUGGUAAAUGCUUCUCUCAUUCAGUGAUUUAAGGGCAGUAUUGACUUUAUUCGCUUGUCUUUGCAUACAGAGGUGACAUGGAUCAAUGAUGUUUGAUGUGUUGAGAAUUCUGCGGGAAGCUGUGUCCCCAAAAGAAGUACUAGAAACCCCUUUCAGGAAGCCUGCAUUGAUCUGAGCUGCCUUUCUGCCCCUGUUACUACAUGGAACCUCAUUUCUAAGCUUAAAAUGCUUGCCUACAUAUAUGUAUCUUGUUCAUUUUAACCUUUCCAUUGUAUACCCCCAAAAUGAGCAUUUUUUCUUUCGCUUGGUUCUGAAUCCCCAUUUUUUACCCAGAAUGCCACCAUAAAAAUAGUCAAAAGUACUUAUUUUGUGCCCAAAAUAUGAAAUUUUGUAUUCUCUUGAACCUCUAAAUGAGAGCUGGCAAUGCAUAUUGACCAUCUGCUGCAGUUUAAAGGCACCCAUGACAUUAUAUGCUAGGAUAUAUCAUUGGCCUCUGGCAAAUAAAUGGGCUCCGAGCGACAAGGCACGUUUCAAGAUUUCACACUUUUAUUGGUGCUAAACAACAAGUUAUUGGAAGCUUAUUGAUUUCUUCUCUUCAAAGUAUCUUUGAUCUCUCAUUUGUACUAAUUUGUUUAUUGUCUUGGAUGAAAUUGGAUUUUCUUUGCUUUGAAAUUGACAUUUUUGGGGUGAUUAAAAAAAAAACACACAAAAAAGACAUUAUCAAAAUUGCUUAGAGUGAAAAUAUCUAACAAAUUAAUUCUUUCACCACCCCGCAUAAGCCCCACGUGCAUGUCCAUUUGGUUUGUUUUGGUAUUUUGUUGCAGAUAUUGAACUUAGCACAUUUAAACCUUAAAGGGACAUUUAAGCUUUAACAGGCCUAAAAUGGCCUUCUUUGGACCGAAAACACCUGCGUGUGAAAAUAUGAAAAAAAAUGGCCAAACGGACAGAUAAUCCAGCCAAACUUAUUACAUGUGUGCAAUAUGAAUAGGAAUAUAAGAAUAUGCCAGAAAAACACGUUUUAAUCAGAAGAUAUUUUUCCUUUAGGUUACAAUAUACUAAAUCUUUUUGGAGUGCAAUGCUAUACUUUCUAAAAACAUGAACAUCAUUUAUUUGAAGACACGGUUCUCUGUAGGGUCACUUGCCAUGACUUUAUUUUAGUAUAUUUCUGUGUGCAUGUGGCAGGGAAAACAUUGUUGUUUACUAGAAAUUCACUCUUUUAUCUGAAGAUUGGAGACUACAUAAGACUUUGACAGAUGGCGGGAAACCCUCAUGAACUGGAUAGAAGCCGGUAAAUAGAUGGCCGUAAAACAGUGACUUUUGAUUCGUGGCGAGUUCUUUCUUACAUGUCGCGUGACCUAUCUUUUUUAUUGCUUAAAUCAAUUCGGCUUGGAAUGCUCUUCGAGAAAAGGUAUGGUUAUGAGGGUCUCUAUGCGAAAAAGUUUGACUUUAUUUUUCGUUAAAGUUAUUGCAUUUACAUUGAAUUUGUGUAGGAAAUCUUUUACUAUAUUGUAACCUAAACUAGCUUUAGGUAAAAAAUGUAAUAUCAUCUGCAAGUGCAAAAUCUGACUGGGAAAGCUGAGUUUUGGUCAUUUCUUAGCAAAAGAGAAGAACAUUAGUGCAUUAAAUGCAUGAAUUCAGAUUAUUUGACCUGGAAUAGUUGUUUUUCAAGUUGACCCCCCACCCUUGUAUAGCCAAAUAAGGGCUUAAUUGCUUUCCGACUUAAAUUAAAAGGCAUUUUGGUUGACCGUGUAGCGUUAUUGUGCUACAUGCAGUCAGAAUUCAACGUCAAGGACUCCGCAAUCCAGUAACGCAACAAUAGCUUGUGCGUAAAGCAUGAACAUUCAAACAGAGCCCCAUUUUACCUACAUGGAAUGGCGGACAUUUUUACAGUUUUGACAGUGCAACAGAUGCUUAACUGAGCCAGCUUUCAUAUUUAGUACAAUCAUGCAUAUAACAAGCUUUAUCACCUCAUAUUAUUCAUAGAAAUACACUUAAAAUACAUAAAUGCAUGUUUUUUUCUUCAUUUUAUAUCUAUUUCUAUUGGGUAUUUUGACUUUUUCAGGUAGAAGAAUGUCUGCGACUAAGCCGAGGGCCACUUGAUAAGGGUUGUUGAUGGUAAAACAGAUUGGAGACUACAUAAGACUUUGACAGAUGGCGGGAAACCCUCAUGAACUGGAUAGAAGCCGGUAAAUAGAUGGCCGUAAAACAGUGACUUUUGAUUCGUGGCGAGUUCUUUCUUACAUGUCGCGUGACCUAUCUUUUUUAUUGCUUAAAUCAAUUCGGCUUGGAAUGCUCUUCGAGAAAAGGUAUGGUUAUGAGGGUCUCUAUGCGAAAAAGUUUGACUUUAUUUUUCGUUAAAGUUAUUGCAUUUACAUUGAAUUUGUGUAGGAAAUCUUUUACUAUAUUGUAACCUAAACUAGCUUUAGGUAAAAAAUGUAAUAUCAUCUGCAAGUGCAAAAUCUGACUGGGAAAGCUGAGUUUUGGUCAUUUCUUAGCAAAAGAGAAGAACAUUAGUGCAUUAAAUGCAUGAAUUCAGAUUAUUUGACCUGGAAUAGUUGUUUUUCAAGUUGACCCCCCACCCUUGUAUAGCCAAAUAAGGGCUUAAUUGCUUUCCGACUUAAAUUAAAAGGCAUUUUGGUUGACCGUGUAGCGUUAUUGUGCUACAUGCAGUCAGAAUUCAACGUCAAGGACUCCGCAAUCCAGUAACGCAACAAUAGCUUGUGCGUAAAGCAUGAACAUUCAAACAGAGCCCCAUUUUACCUACAUGGAAUGGCGGACAUUUUUACAGUUUUGACAGUGCAACAGAUGCUUAACUGAGCCAGCUUUCAUAUUUAGUACAAUCAUGCAUAUAACAAGCUUUAUCACCUCAUAUUAUUCAUAGAAAUACACUUAAAAUACAUAAAUGCAUGUUUUUUUCUUCAUUUUAUAUCUAUUUCUAUUGGGUAUUUUGACUUUUUCAGGUAGAAGAAUGUCUGCGACUAAGCCGAGGGCCACUUGAUAAGGGUUGUUGAUGGUAAAACAGGUAAUAAUACUAAUUUAUUAUCAUGUACACAGGCAAAUAAGCAUAUUUAUGAUGCUUAAGGUGUGAAAUACUGUCCUAAUCAGUUUUGUGGUCACUCAAACUCUUGCCGUCGUGCAAUUCCCAUGCAGUUUGUAUCGAUUAUUCCGCGUCCUGACACGUAAAGCUCCUGCUCUGUUGGCAGCAGAAGUUGGCACUCAACAUGUUUAUCCCUGUUCCUGAGCAUGUAUGCAGCACAGCUGAGUUGAUUUGCUACUUGUUAUCCUACAAUUAGCUUGUGUUUGGUACUGUUUUCUCACAAUAUGCUUACAGUCAUGGUUCCGGCUUGAGAAGAUGUCGCGUCCGACUUAAGCAUAGGAUUGUUGUAGCGAGUGUCCCCUUCAUCGUUUACAUUAGAGGGAUCUUUUUGACAAAAUUUGGCACUUUCAGCAACCAGUUUUGUUUUUUAUUUGGUAAAUGCUUCUCUCAUUCAGUGAUUUAAGGGCAGUAUUGACUUUAUUCGCUUGUCUUUGCAUACAGAGGUGACAUGGAUCAAUGAUGUUUGAUGUGUUGAGAAUUCUGCGGGAAGCUGUGUCCCCAAAAGAAGUACUAGAAACCCCUUUCAGGAAGCCUGCAUUGAUCUGAGCUGCCUUUCUGCCCCUGUUACUACAUGGAACCUCAUUUCUAAGCUUAAAAUGCUUGCCUACAUAUAUGUAUCUUGUUCAUUUUAACCUUUCCAUUGUAUACCCCCAAAAUGAGCAUUUUUUCUUUCGCUUGGUUCUGAAUCCCCAUUUUUUACCCAGAAUGCCACCAUAAAAAUAGUCAAAAGUACUUAUUUUGUGCCCAAAAUAUGAAAUUUUGUAUUCUCUUGAACCUCUAAAUGAGAGCUGGCAAUGCAUAUUGACCAUCUGCUGCAGUUUAAAGGCACCCAUGACAUUAUAUGCUAGGAUAUAUCAUUGGCCUCUGGCAAAUAAAUGGGCUCCGAGCGACAAGGCACGUUUCAAGAUUUCACACUUUUAUUGGUGCUAAACAACAAGUUAUUGGAAGCUUAUUGAUUUCUUCUCUUCAAAGUAUCUUUGAUCUCUCAUUUGUACUAAUUUGUUUAUUGUCUUGGAUGAAAUUGGAUUUUCUUUGCUUUGAAAUUGACAUUUUUGGGGUGAUUAAAAAAAAAACACACAAAAAAGACAUUAUCAAAAUUGCUUAGAGUGAAAAUAUCUAACAAAUUAAUUCUUUCACCACCCCGCAUAAGCCCCACGUGCAUGUCCAUUUGGUUUGUUUUGGUAUUUUGUUGCAGAUAUUGAACUUAGCACAUUUAAACCUUAAAGGGACAUUUAAGCUUUAACAGGCCUAAAAUGGCCUUCUUUGGACCGAAAACACCUGCGUGUGAAAAUAUGAAAAAAAAUGGCCAAACGGACAGAUAAUCCAGCCAAACUUAUUACAUGUGUGCAAUAUGAAUAGGAAUAUAAGAAUAUGCCAGAAAAACACGUUUUAAUCAGAAGAUAUUUUUCCUUUAAACUAGCUUUAGGUAUAAAAUGUAAUAUCAUCUGCAAGUGCAAAAUCUGACUGGGAAAGCUGAGUUUUGGUCAUUUCUUAGCAAAAGAGAAGAACAUUAGUGCAUUAAAUGCAUGAAUUCAGAUUAUUUGACCUGGAAUAGUUGUUUUUCAAGUUGACCCCCCACCCUUGUAUAGCCAAAUAAGGGCUUAAUUGCUUUCCGACUUAAAUUAAAAGGCAUUUUGGUUGACCGUGUAGCGUUAUUGUGCUACAUGCAGUCAGAAUUCAACGUCAAGGACUCCGCAAUCCAGUAACGCAACAAUAGCUUGUGCGUAAAGCAUGAACAUUCAAACAGAGCCCCAUUUUACCUACAUGGAAUGGCGGACAUUUUUACAGUUUUGACAGUGCAACAGAUGCUUAACUGAGCCAGCUUUCAUAUUUAGUACAAUCAUGCAUAUAACAAGCUUUAUCACCUCAUAUUAUUCAUAGAAAUACACUUAAAAUACAUAAAUGCAUGUUUUUUUCUUCAUUUUAUAUCUAUUUCUAUUGGGUAUUUUGACUUUUUCAGGUAGAAGAAUGUCUGCGACUAAGCCGAGGGCCACUUGAUAAGGGUUGUUGAUGGUAAAACAGGUAAUAAUACUAAUUUAUUAUCAUGUACACAGGCAAAUAAGCAUAUUUAUGAUGCUUAAGGUGUGAAAUACUGUCCUAAUCAGUUUUGUGGUCACUCAAACUCUUGCCGUCGUGCAAUUCCCAUGCAGUUUGUAUCGAUUAUUCCGCGUCCUGACACGUAAAGCUCCUGCUCUGUUGGCAGCAGAAGUUGGCACUCAACAUGUUUAUCCCUGUUCCUGAGCAUGUAUGCAGCACAGCUGAGUUGAUUUGCUACUUGUUAUCCUACAAUUAGCUUGUGUUUGGUACUGUUUUCUCACAAUAUGCUUACAGUCAUGGUUCCGGCUUGAGAAGAUGUCGCGUCCGACUUAAGCAUAGGAUUGUUGUAGCGAGUGUCCCCUUCAUCGUUUACAUUAGAGGGAUCUUUUUGACAAAAUUUGGCACUUUCAGCAACCAGUUUUGUUUUUUAUUUGGUAAAUGCUUCUCUCAUUCAGUGAUUUAAGGGCAGUAUUGACUUUAUUCGCUUGUCUUUGCAUACAGAGGUGACAUGGAUCAAUGAUGUUUGAUGUGUUGAGAAUUCUGCGGGAAGCUGUGUCCCCAAAAGAAGUACUAGAAACCCCUUUCAGGAAGCCUGCAUUGAUCUGAGCUGCCUUUCUGCCCCUGUUACUACAUGGAACCUCAUUUCUAAGCUUAAAAUGCUUGCCUACAUAUAUGUAUCUUGUUCAUUUUAACCUUUCCAUUGUAUACCCCCAAAAUGAGCAUUUUUUCUUUCGCUUGGUUCUGAAUCCCCAUUUUUUACCCAGAAUGCCACCAUAAAAAUAGUCAAAAGUACUUAUUUUGUGCCCAAAAUAUGAAAUUUUGUAUUCUCUUGAACCUCUAAAUGAGAGCUGGCAAUGCAUAUUGACCAUCUGCUGCAGUUUAAAGGCACCCAUGACAUUAUAUGCUAGGAUAUAUCAUUGGCCUCUGGCAAAUAAAUGGGCUCCGAGCGACAAGGCACGUUUCAAGAUUUCACACUUUUAUUGGUGCUAAACAACAAGUUAUUGGAAGCUUAUUGAUUUCUUCUCUUCAAAGUAUCUUUGAUCUCUCAUUUGUACUAAUUUGUUUAUUGUCUUGGAUGAAAUUGGAUUUUCUUUGCUUUGAAAUUGACAUUUUUGGGGUGAUUAAAAACAAAACACACAAAAAAGACAUUAUCAAAAUUGCUUAGAGUGAAAAUAUCUAA